rfam:Caenorhabditis remanei strain PB4641 contig10.50, whole genome shotgun sequence.
GUGGCCGAGUGGUUAAGGCGAUGGACUGCUAAUCCAUUGGGGUUUCCCCGCGUGAGUUCGAAUCUCAUC